rnacentral:rRNA from 1 species
UACGGAGGGUGCAAGCGUUAUCCGGAUUCACUGGGCUUAAAGGGUGCGUAGGCGGACAGGUAAGUCAGUGGUGAAAUCUCUGAGCUUAACUCAGAAACUGCCGUUGAUACUAUUUGUCUUGAAUAUUCUGGAGGUAAGCGGAAUAUGUCAUGUAGCGGUGAAAUGCUUAGAUAUGACAUAGAACACCGAUAGCGAAGGCAGCUUACUACAGAAUGAUUGACGCUGAGGCACGAAAGCGUGGGGAGCAAACAGG